rnacentral:rRNA from 1 species
GAUGAACGCUGGCGGCGUGCUUAGCACAUGCAAGUCGAACGGAAAGGCCAGUGCUUGCACUGGUACUCGAGUGGCGAACGGGUGAGUAACACGUGGGUGAUCUGCCCUGCACUUCGGGAUAAGCCUGGGAAACUGGGUCUAAUACCGGAUAGGACAAUGGUCUGGAUGCCGUUGUGGAAAGUUUUUUCGGUGUGGGAUGAGCUCGCGGCCUAUCAGCUUGUUGGUGGGGUAAUGGCCUACCAAGGCGUCGACGGGUAGCCGGCCUGAGAGGGUGUACGGCCACAUUGGGACUGAGAUACGGCCCAGACUCCUACGGGAGGCAGCAGUGGGGAAUAUUGCACAAUGGGCGCAAGCCUGAUGCAGCGACGCCGCGUGGGGGAUGACGGCCUUCGGGUUGUAAACUCCUUUCGCUAGGGACGAAGCGUAUUUGUGACGGUACCUGGAGAAGAAGCACCGGCUAACUACGUG